rnacentral:rRNA from 1 species
AUUGAACGCUGGCGGAAUGCUUUACACAUGCAAGUCGAACGGUAGAGGGGGCAACCCCUUGAGAGUGGCGAACGGGUGAGUAAUAUAUCGGAACGUGCCCAGUCGUGGGGAUAACGUAGCGAAAGUUACGCUAAUACCGCAUACGAUCUAAGGAUGAAAGCGGGGGACUCGCAAGAGCCUCGCGCGAUUGGAGCGGCCGAUAUCAGAUUAGGUAGUUGGUGGGGUAAAGGCUCACCAAGCCAACGAUCUGUAGCUGGUCUGAGAGGACGACCAGCCACACUGGAACUGAGACACGGUCCAGACUCCUACGGGAGGCAGCAGUGGGGAAUUUUGGGACAAUGGACGCAAGUCUGAUCCAGCCAUUCCGCGUGCAGGAUGAAAGGCCCUCGGGUUGUAAACUGCUUUGUACGGAACGAAAAGGUUCUAUUAAUACUAGGAGCUCAUGACGGUACCGUAAGAAUAAGNACCGGCUAACUAACGUGCCAGCAGC